ACGCUGGCGGCAGGCCUAACACAUGCAAGUCGAGCGGUAGAGAGAAGCUUGCUUCUCUUGAGAGCGGCGGACGGGUGAGUAAUGCCUAGGAAUCUGCCUGGUAGUGGGGGAUAACGUUCGGAAACGGACGCUAAUACCGCAUACGUCCUACGGGAGAAAGCAGGGGACCUUCGGGCCUUGCGCUAUCAGAUGAGCCUAGGUCGGAUUAGCUAGUUGGUGGGGUAAUGGCUCACCAAGGCGACGAUCCGUAACUGGUCUGAGAGGAUGAUCAGUCACACUGGAACUGAGACACGGUCUAGACUCCUACGGGAGGCAGCAGUGGGGAAUAUUGGACAAUGGGCGAAAGCCUGAUCCAGCCAUGCCGCGUGUGUGAAGAAGGUCUUCGGAUUGUAAAGCACUUUAAGUUGGGAGGAAGGGCAGUUGCCUAAUACGUAACUGUUUUGACGUUACCGACAGAAUAAGCACCGGCUAACUCUGUGCCAGCAGCCGCGGUAAUACAGAGGGUGCAAGCGUUAAUCGGAAUUACUGGGCGUAAAGCGCGCGUAGGUGGUUUGUUAAGUUGGAUGUGAAAUCCCCGGGCUCAACCUGGGAACUGCAUUCAAAACUGACUGACUAGAGUAUGGUAGAGGGUGGUGGAAUUUCCUGUGUAGCGGUGAAAUGCGUAGAUAUAGGAAGGAACACCAGUGGCGAAGGCGACCACCUGGACUGAUACUGACACUGAGGUGCGAAAGCGUGGGGAGCAAAC
rnacentral:rRNA from 1 species